rnacentral:lncRNA from 1 species
UAGGGGCACUACAUUCCCGGUUGUUGCCAUCUCCACUUCCAACCUUUGCCAAAAAACAACAGCUCCAAAACUCAAAUUUCAGAGAAUUCACACUAGAAUAUAAAAAUUUCCUGUGAGUCCAAAAAAAUUCCUUCCUGAUGAAAAAAACAAACUAGAUUCUACACGAGCAAGCAGCUAAAAUUUCAGAUAAUUCACCACAAAAUAAAUAAACCCUAAAAUGAUCUAUUACCUCUGAUUAGGGGCACUACAUUCCUGGUUGUUGCCAUCUCCUCUUCCAAAUUUUGCCAAAAAACGACAGCUCCAAGACCGGAUAUAACAGAAGAAAAUAAAAAAGGACAUGGAUUCAAAAAUUAGGGUUUCUGCUACUGUGAGAAGAGUGAACUAAGAGGAGAGCAAGGAAAAACCAGUCCUAUCUCCCCCUCAACCACUAACCCUUCUUCUCUUUAUUAUUCUGCCUCCUCUCUUCUUCGUCUCUCUUCUUCUCUCUAUUCUUCUGCCUCCUCUCUUCUUCGUCUCUCUUCUUCUCUCUAUUCUUCUGCCUCUUCUCUUUUAUUUCUCUCUCUCUCUUCUUCUCUUUUUCUCUCUCUAAACUCGUUAAGUUUGAGUCUUCUUCUCUUUUUCUCUCUCUAAACUCGUUAAGUUUGGUUUUCAAAUGGCAUUGUUCUUGUCUGGUCGAGAUAUAUAAAGGCACCGCUAUCAACGGUCAUUUGUUUGUGACGGUUGGAUUCGUUUUUUCCAUUGGUUGGGACAUUGGAUUCUGCCGAAACACAUCCAACGGUUGGCAACUUCUUGCAAAAUUCUCUCUCUCG